rnacentral:rRNA from 1 species
UACGUAGGGGGCUAGCGUUGUCCGGAUUUAUUGGGCGUAAAGAGCUCGUAGGCGGUUUGUUGCGUCGGCUGUGAAAACCUGAGGCUCAACCUCAGGCCUGCAGUCGAUACGAGCAGACUAGAGUGUUGCAGGGGAGACUGGAAUUCCUGGUGUAGCGGUGAAAUGCGCAGAUAUCAGGAGGAACACCGGUGGCGAAGGCGGGUCUCUGGGCAACAACUGACGCUGAGGAGCGAAAGCGUGUGGAGCGAACAGG